rnacentral:misc_RNA from 1 species
CCGAGUGCGGCCCCUUCGGGGUGCCAACCUCCCACCCGUGUCUACCGUACCACGUUGCUUCGGCGGGCCCGCCCCCAUCCUUGGGGCCGCCAUGGGGCAUCCGCCCCCGCGCGAGCGCCCGCCGGAGACCACACGAACGCUGUCUGAAGACUGCCGUCUGAGUGGAUUUUUAAAUCAGUCA